rnacentral:misc_RNA from 1 species
UCCGACUUAACGUCGGCAGUCCCUUUAGAGUGCCCAACUUAAUGCUGGCAACUAAAGGCAAGGGUUGCGCUCGUUGCGGGACUUAACCCAACAUCUCACGACACGAGCUGACGACAGCCAUGCAGCACCUGUGAUAAUGUCCCUUGCGGGCCGACGACAUCUCUGCCGUAUUCACUACCAUGUCAAACCCAGGUAAGGUUUUGCGCGUUGCAUCGAAUUAAACCACAUACUCCACCGCUUGUGCGGGCCCCCGUCAAUUUCUUUGAGUUUUAAUCUUGCGACCGUACUCCCCAGGCGGGAUACUUAACGCGUUAGCUUCGUCACUGAAGGGGUCAAUACCUCCAACAACAAGUAUCCAUCGUUUACGGCGUGGACUAC